ensembl:lncRNA
GGCCAGCCCCUCCCCUUCGCAUUGUGAGGAAGGGGCAUCAGCGGGCAGGGCCAUCCCCGGGGACACUGUGGAGAGAGGACUUGGUUGCUCCCCCCACAUGCCUUCUCACCGCCCAGCAAGCCCCCCUACUGGCCAGUGGCAACAACACCCUGUCAGUCCUCGGCUGUUGUUACUCUGAGCCCCCCCGGAAGCCACCACGGUGACCUCUGGUGACACUGCUCCGCCCUACGCCCACUCUGAUCCCGUGACUCACCCCUCAGAUCCCUGGCCCUGGGGACGAGGGCACACAGUUCAUGCUGCCCAGCCUUUCCUGGGUGCCAUGUGCAGCCCAGGAGCAGCCAGCAGCCCUGGCUGCUCUGAACUCCCAUGACCCCAGUGACGUCCGGAAAAGGUGGAGUCCAAGAAGCAUUUGGUCCGGGAUAAUUUCCCUGCUCCUGAGCUGAGACAUGCCUACUCUGGCUGAUGUCGGGAUCCCAGUAAAGAGAAAAGUCCAUUGGCCAAAAAUGAAAAAGACUCUGAAAACCAGCGUGCUGGGUAGCACUGAUGCCACGGGCCCUGGGACUGUUUGCUCAUCUGGGGCACCAAGACCUUUCCAUCGCAACGGCCACGAGAGAUGGGCGAGCAGGCCGGGACCUGGGCGAGGGUAUGGCUUUCCUUACAAACUGUCCCGUCGUUGGAUGCUGUUAAGGACUGAAGCACAGCUUGUUCAGCUGAAGACCCUGUUUCCUCUGGAAUAGCCUCCAGCAUGCGAGACCCCAGCAGAAGGAAUUGCUAAGUGCUUGGGGCUGACAACAGGGAGAAAAACGCCAGCCACCGCCAACAGCUGGGACGUCUCCUCUUUUAAAAGCUCCCAUCACUCCCACCUUGCUUCGUGGGGACAUCUGGUGCAGAUGCUAAAACUCAACUCAGAAAUGUUAUUCAUCAAAUCACCGGAAAACAAGCCUCCAGUCAGCGUUGGUCUACCCGAUUCCAAAGAAGAUAUGAUAUAUACAUAUAUCACACGUAUCACAUCAUCUUUGAGGAAUUAGUCCCUGGAAUGCUCAUGGACUCCAGAUAAAAACACAGCAGUUAUUUUAAACUGCUAAAGAAGGCAAAAUAUUGGAAACCACUUAGAUGUGGAAUUCAUAAAAUGACUAAGGAACUAUUACAUUCUCGAGUAGAGUGAAAUAAGGUUAAAACUACGCUAUAGAAAAUGUUUCUCCAACUCUGGGGAGGACCAGCUAACCUAAGAGAGCAAAGCCAUGGGCUACAGCUCCAUGUCACCAGCGAUCCAUGCAAUCCCAAGGCACCGGACCUCUGAGACCACUCCCAAAGCUGCCCAGGGGUCUGGGAGAGAGCAUGGAAGCUCACGUCUUUCCCCCCAUAUCUUUGUUGUUCAGUCGCUAAGUCGUGUCCAACUCUUUGUGACCCCAUGGUCUGCAGCACGCCAGGCUUCCCUGUCCUUCACCAUCUCCCAGAGUUUGCUCAAACUCAUGUCCAUUGACUCCAUGAUGCCAUCCAAGCAUCUCAUCCUCUGUGGUCCCCUUCUCCUCCUGCCUUCAAUCUUUCCCAAAAUCAGGGUCUUUUCCAAUGCGUUAGCUCAUCACAUAGUAUAG